CCUACGGGCGGCAGCAGUGGGGAAUAUUGGACAAUGGGCGAAAGCCUGAUCCAGCCAUGCCGCGUGUGUGAAGAAGGCCUUCGGGUUGUAAAGCACUUUCAGUGGGGAAGAAAGCCUUGGGGCUAAUACCCUCGAGGAAGGACAUCACCCACAGAAGAAGCACCGGCUAACUCCGUGCCAGCAGCCGCGGUAAUACGGAGGGUGCGAGCGUUAAUCGGAAUUACUGGGCGUAAAGCGCGCGUAGGCGGUCUGAUAAGCCGGUUGUGAAAGCCCCGGGCUCAACCUGGGAACGGCAUCCGGACCUGUCAGGCUAGAGUGCAGGAGAGGAAGGUAGAAUUCCCGGUGUAGCGGUGAAAUGCGUAGAGAUCGGGAGGAAUACCAGUGGCGAAGGCGGCCUUCUGGACUGACACUGACGCUGGGGUGCGAAAGCGUGGGUAGCAAACAGGAUUAGAUACCGGGUAGUC
rnacentral:rRNA from 1 species